rnacentral:rRNA from 1 species
AGUCGAACGAGAAAGGGUCCUUCGGGGCCUGAGUAAAGUGGCGCACGGGUGAGUAACACGUGGAUAAUCUGCCCUACAGUUGGGAAUAACCCACCGAAAGGUGUGCUAAUACCGAAUGAUGCUGAUUGGCCUUGGUCAAUCAGCCAAAGAGAGCCUCUUCUUGAAAGCCCUCGCUGUUGGAUGAGUCCGCGUACCAUUAGCUUGUUGGUAGGGUAAUGGCCUACCAAGGCUGUGAUGGUUAGCUGGUCUGAGAGGAUGAUCAGCCACACUGGAACUGAGACACGGUCCAGACUCCUACGGGAGGCAGCAGUGAGGAAUCUUGCGCAAUGGGGGAAACCCUGACGCAGCAACGCCGCGUGAGUGAGGAAGGUCUUCGGAUCGUAAAGCUCUGUCAGUUGGAAAGAAACGCCUAUGUGUUAAUACCAUGUAGGUUUGACGGUACCAACAGAGGAAGCACCGGCUAACUCCGUGCCAGCAGCCGCGGUAAUACGGGGGGUGCAAGCGUUGUUCGGAAUUAUUGGGCGUAAAGAGCGUGUAGGCGGCCUGAUGUGUCAGAUGUGAAAGCCCUGGGCUUAACCCAGGAAGUGCAUUUGAAACUGUCAGGCUUGAGUAGGGAGGGGGGAAAGUUGAAUUCCUGGUGUAGAGGUGAAAUUCGUAGAUAUCAGGAGGAACACCGGUGGCGAAGGCGACUUCCUGGCCCUAUACUGACGCUGAGACGCGAGAGCGUGGGUAGCAAACAGGAUUAGAUACCCUGGUAGUCCACGCUGUAAACGAUGUACAUUAGGUUAUGGGAGGUAUCGACCCCUUCUGUGCCGAAGCUAACGCGUUAAAUGUACCGCCUGGGGAGUACGGUCGCAAGAUUAAAACUCAAAGGAAUUGACGGGGGCCCGCACAAGCAGUGGAAUUAUGGUGGUUUAAUUCGACGAUACCCGAAGAACCUUACCAGAACUUGACACCCAGAGAUCCUGUAGAAGUACAGGAGUGCCCGCAGGAGCUUUGAGACAGUGGUGCAUGAUUGUCGUCAGCUCGUGUCGUGAGAUGUUAGGUUAAGUCCUGCAACGAGCGCAACCCCCGUACU